rnacentral:lncRNA from 1 species
UGUUUGGAUGUUAUGUCACAAAAAUUAAAAAUUUAGUACUUACAAAAAAAACAAAACAUGGUUGAAAAAAUCUUUCAAUCAAUUACUAAAAAAAAAAGUAAAUGAAGAAAGCAAUACCUCAUGCAGCAGCUUGUGAUAUGAUCCAAAAACAAAUCGGGACAGCUAAAGGUCUUGGCUGGUACAAGCAAAAACUCGGUCUCCUUGAGCCCAUCCAGCUUCUUUCAGGUACUACAACAUAUUAAAAAGAUUGCACAUGUCAAAAUGACUAUUACCAUAUCCAAAUUUCGAUUGUUUCCUACUUUCCUUUUAUCUUCAACAGUUGUUUCCUUUUUCUUAUUUGAGAACGUUCGAGAAAUCUGGACCGUCUAUUUUCAUCAUAUUGCAACUGUGAGAUCUGAUGGUGAUUAUCUAAUCUAAACGGUAAGUUUGUUAGAUUAUGUGGGACCGGGACGAUCUAUUUCUUAAACCUCUGUUACAAACAAACACUCAUGUCUAUUAGUAUUAGGAAAUAAGAGAUGGAUAUGAUGAUGAUUCCGAACCAAUUCUCAAUAAACUGUUUAUAAUGGAACAGAAGCAGCAGUGAUUGAUGAUCUAACAGACAUUGACAUCAGGCUACCAAUGCUAGUCUUCCUGUGGGAGAUAGAAGCGGCCUUGGUUAUGCCGAGUUUUCUGUUGAUCUGUGUUUAUGUAAUCACCCGAGGAUGCAAACAAUUAAUCCCAUCAGCUAAAAGACUUGUUUGAUUCAAAACAGACUUUAGCAGAUCAUUUGUUUUUCUUAUCUACAGAACAUAAUAUAUUCUUUUUUUGGUGAUAUUAUGAUUGGGAAACAUCCAUUUCAUUUAACCAGAAAGCAUGGCAAUCUUUUCUUUGAACAAAUCUCCAUAAAUUACAGACAAAGAUAAAGCCGGAAACAAGAAAAUGUUGCAGAUAAAAUCUAACAAAAGAAAGAACAAUCGAAAAACUCUUCUUCUCCUUGUAAUUUGCUCACAACAAAACCUCUUCUUCAGAGCCUCUUAAAGUGGCUUUCCACUUGUCUUGAUAUCAUUUCUGAUUGCUCCUUGAAUCAUCUUAACGAUCAAAUACUGCAAAGUAGAAGAAAGGAUUUCACUUGUUUACCAAAUUCGAACAAGACAAUAAAUCAAACUGUGUCUCUUUCUUACCUGAGCGCCUAUGAUAAGAGGGAUGAGUUUCUUUCCUUUAUCAUCAGAGUAAGAUCCAUCUACCAUCUUCUUGUCUACAUGAAUUGCUUUCCUCUGGUUUGUUGCUACAUCAGUUAUCGCCUUAACCAAGUUCGGGAUCCACGCUUCACCAUUUGGAAGAGCCUGAACCGAGAGCAGGUAAGCAACUUUUAACAGUCAGUCUCUCUCCAAGUCGGAUCAAAUCAGAGAUUCGAAAACACAAACCUUUUCGUCCUUAUCGUUCUUGCUGCAUCUUCCGCUGUUCUCUGCAUAGACUACCGCGAUUGCAGAAUCCUACAAGCCAGUAAAGAAUGAAACUGAUUCUUGCUACAAUGAACCAAACAUACAUUGGUAUAACAAUUUUCGGAGACAGGUAUAUGUAUAAAUAACCAUACCUCAAACUCUUGUUUUCGCAUCUUAGAACCAGCCCGGAUAGUUUUGAGGAGAGAAUCUGAUCUCUUGGAGGAAAAAGUUUCGUAGGAAAGUUCAUCGGGAGGGGAAAAUUGAGCAUGAGUCAGAACAAGCAAGGUUUUGCACCAUAUCUCUUUUCCAAAGGUUUGGGUGAUUGCUAUAACAACUUGCUUAUCUAGCUCAUCGACUCUAUACACAUCCAAACGAUCAACAUAGAGCAAGACAUCUAUUGUUCUGUUCACAAGAAACCUGUCCAAAAUCCGAGAAACACAACAACUAUCGUAAAACUUCCACACACACUCCAAUAUACAGCUUCAGCGUAAACCAGAUACUCAUAAUUCACAAUUUCAACAGAAACCCACAAGUAAACAUGUUAACCACAUAUAUACUUAGCUUAAUUAAUUCAAAAACGAAUGAGAUAAUCCUAUAUGCAACAAUCAACGAAGAGAUAUUCCAAAAGAGUAGCUACUGACCCUUUGAUUAACUCGAGAGCUUGGUGAUUGACAUAUCCAGCUUCCACAAGUCCAGGGGUGUCAAUAAUGUUGAUAGUGAACCCUCCCAUUGUUCUUGAAACCAUCACUGGUCUCAAUCCUUCAGCCUACAAAAUCAACAAAACAGAGCCAUCAAAUAUCUUGAAAUGACUACUCUUUCUUAAUCCAAAUUAAAAAAAUCAAGCUUAGGGAAACUGAAUUACGUACUUGGAAAGGACUGACACGGACGACUUGUUCGCCGAUAAGAGAAUUGACAGUGGAUGAUUUUCCGACACCGCCUUUACCCAGAACAAGAACUGUCAUUGAGUUCAUAUCCUGCAAUUACAAAAACCUCCCAUCAUUAUCUCCUAAUCACAACGGAGAAUCCGAGAAACCGACUUAAGCACCAAAGAAACAGGAACAACAACAACAAAACACACCUUUUGCUUCAAUUUUCCGAAGAAUUCAAUCAGCUUUUCCUGGGUAGCUGCUGGAAAUUGCUGAAACCCAACCCAUUCACGAACGAGAGACCCCAUCACUCCUAAACCCUUCAGCAAAAAAAUUCUUUUGGUAAAUAAUCGCUGAGUGAUGACGAUGAUGAUAAUUAAUUUCGAAAGCGAUAACGUUUUGGGAGAUUUGGAGGAGCUUACCGUUGUGUGAGGAGCGUUUGAGGUUUUUGGAAGAAGCUCUCUCGAUGUGUUCCGCAGAGAAAAGCUAAAGAAUGUGACCUUAUCGGUAAUUUGUUUAAUAGUUCAAAUUAUUUUCACUUUUACUCCUCUAUUUCUUUAGUGUUUCUUUUUAGUGCCUUCAAAUUUUGAAAACUAACAAACUCAACCCCAAACCAAAUCCAGUUACCAAGUUGCAGCAUUACACUUCAUAUUUUCAUGGAAGACUACAUUAGGUGGAACAUUGAAUUAGCAUAGCGUCACGGGAGCUCAAGCGAUUCUCUGAACCUUUCUUCGCUUGUAAGUCAAGGAAAACAAAUGGUCACUAUUGGCUUCUCGAGCAUGAUUGUCUUCGCUCAGGACCCCCAGCGGUUUUCUCAGAGCCUUGGCUUCCCUCUGAAAGUUAUUACUAGACGAAAUCCUCUUGCUCUCUGUUGUUUCAGAGCCUCUGUCAACAGUCCUAGGCUUAAAACCAGGAGACUUCAGGUGGUACCGGACAUAUUCUUCUUGCUUUAGAGGUAUAUUCUGUUCUGUGAUGGAGUAAUUUGAAACACGGAGAGCACUGGGAACAGUGUGUGUUGGAUCAUGAAACACCGGUUCUGUACCUUGGAUUGAUCUUUGUGUAGUUUCCAAAUAGGUUAAGAAAGGGUCUGGGAUAGAACAGCCAAGAGUUCCGUAGGGUGGUUUCUCAAAUGUCGUACCUAAGUAUGGAGACGCUGCAAAUCUAGUACUCUUUGAACCGGUUUCAUGGAUUUGCAGGAGAUUGUUUCCUGGAGCUACAUAGGGUUUCCUGAGGAUGGCAGAAGAAGAUUUAGGGACUAAUUUGAGAACACCCUUUGGCAAAGUCUGAUGAUGAUGGCCAGCAGAAACUAAGCUGGAACCUUGAUACCGGAAUACUCCUUCCUUGGUUAUCUUUAUCUUGAGACUGUUCUUGGAGCUGCCACUGCGAGGGAAGGUUAAACUUUUCGAUCUAUUUCUUUCCACGGGUUUCACUACAUUGGGAGUUUUGAAUCUACAUGUAGCACUAUCCAUUUCCUUAGAUGGAACUCUAUUGAGGUCCAGUAGCUUGAGAUUACCGGUUUGAGUUCGUCCUGACCAAAUGAGGAGCCUUGAGUAAUUGCCCAAUUUAUUUCCAUACUGAACCCACACCCUUUGCAUUUCGGUAAAUGUCCUGAUCAGCUUUUCAUGAUAGAACUUUAAAGAGUAGUAAUACUUUCUCCUCUUGACAAACAUAACACCUUCUUUGAAACAAGCUACCUUUGGAGUAAACAAUCCACCUAGCAAAUUCUUGUAAAACUUAUCCUCUGGAUUCCCAAAAUAUAAAUUGGCACCAUCAAGAAGUUCCUGCAUCGUCAAACUGAAAGUCUGUGGAUCCAUAUCUGGCAGAAAACAUGAGAGGAAGAAUCUUUCUUCUUCAGUCAGAAGUGAGUUCCAAGUCUCAACAGACAAUAUUCCCGUUAAAUCUGGUAGAUCGUAGAGCUCGUAUGGUAUGUUACAGAGCUGACCUUCAACCAAAGCUAGCUCACAGUUUACUUGCGCAAUGUCGUAAUCAUCAGAGUCAUCAUCUUCAGAGUCUAGCCCAACUGUUUGAUUCUUAUUCAUCUGUAGUUAACCACUUACUACCCUUAAAACACAAGUACUUCAAAUCUCCAACCACAAACUCAGUAGAAAGGAACACAAGCAGGAGAUACCUAGAUAGAAAAUGUUAAAGACUCAUCAUCAGCAAUUCACAUUACAAGAAUUCUACUACAAUACAAUGGACAGCGAGAAGCUGAGUAUGUUACUAAUCAGAAAUCAAACGAACAUAAAUAGCAUUUUACUCACUGAUUUCAGCAACAACAACACUAAAGGCUAUAUAAAACACGAAAUAUACAUUGUGAGAUCAAUGAAGCACUCAAAAAGAAGAAGAUACACAACACCAGAAAAUCUCCCAGAUCGGAUCAGCUACAAAGCUUAAACGUAAUCGAUCGCGAACUCAAUCAAUAACCAAAAUCAAAAGCUCCAACAAGGCAAAUAACUAGAGAGCGAAAACCCUUGGAUUUGACAACAAAAAUGUGCAGACAAUUUGAAUAAAAAACAAGUAUCAUACAAAUCUCAGCACAAAUCAGCUCCAAUGAGUUUCAAAAACCUACCGGAACUAAUAAAAAAAAAGAAUCUCGAGAUAUUCAGAGAAAUCGAUCGGAAAGCGUAAAAGACGAGGAGCUUACCGGCUCUAAAGACAGGUGAAAUUAGCAGAUUAGGGUCGAAGAAACCAUAUCCCUUUGGCUACAGAUACGAACUUCAUCGCCUUCAAAGAUUCUCUGCUUCCUUUCUAGAGAUUUCUAUGGCUUUUCGAUCGAUGCGACAGUAGAGUAGAGACUAGAGAGACUAAUUACUGUUACACUUGUAUUUUGAUUUCUUUAAUUAAAGCCGCCUAAAGUAACUAAUGCCUUGAUUACUUUAAUUAAUAAUCAUUUUUAAAUUGUGAUUUAUAAUCAAGUUAGACAUUACUUCACAAAUAGUUUGGGCCUGGAAACGUAUAGGCCCAUGUAAACUUUAAUAAAAGAAUCACCUUGCAGGUAAGUAUAAUAUCCUGAUAUUAUUAUUUACUUGAUAGAAUGGGCCUAUAAUAAAAGAAAUCACCAUUAAAGAAUUAUAGGCCCAUGAUAUCAAGUAAAUAUCAAGAAAUGAUGAUUAAUGAUCAAGUUAGACAUCAUUACUUGAUAUUUUGGUAAGUAGGAUCAAUCAACGGUCAGGAUCCUUUUAGUAAAAUCAUGUGUCAUUUUCAGUUUGUCUAAAAGAUAAGCCUUUCACUUUCUCUCUCUGUCUUAUUAGAAAAGAAAAUUUGUACCGUUUCCAAAGUCUGAGCCAAUCAUUGUGUUGAUUCUGGAAUUCUUUGUGGGAACGAGAAAUUUGUACAAGGGAGAUUCAUCAUGGCUGAUAGUUGUUGUAUCAGACUUCACUUAUUAGCCUCUGUUUUCUUGCUCUUAUUUUCAUCCUUCAACUUGCAGGUACUUUAAACUUUCGUAAUCUGUGUGUUAAAAUUGCUUACUAAGAUCGAUUUGUUGGACUCUUGAGCUACAAGUUAAAAAAAAACAAAAUAAAUCAAACUUUGUGAUUUUUUUCUCUGCGUAUCAAUCUAAGACAUAUGAAGGGGAAAUGUAUAUAUGGUUUUUUGUAAUUGUUUCUAUAUCAGUAAAGUUUUAAACUUUUGAAGCUGGUUUAUCUCUUAAUCUCAGGGUAUUGCAGCGGAAAAUCUUUCCAAGCAGAAACUGACCUCACUGAUUCUUCAGGUUUUGAUCUUAAUCCACACAAUUAUCUGUAUUGUUUUCGUCUCUUUUAGAUUGCCUAAACGUUGAUGAUCAACUUUUGCAGAAUGAGAUUGUAAAGGAAGUCAAUGAGAAUCCAAACGCUGGUUGGAAAGCUGCUUUCAAUGAUCGGUUUGCAAAUGCCACCGUGAGUUUAUUAUCACCUCCAUGCUCUUAUCUCUUUAAGAGCUACGUUACUUAUCAUUGUUCCUGAAAGUUUGUGUUUUUGUGUAUGUAUGUGCAGGUUGCAGAGUUUAAGCGACUCCUCGGUGUUAUACAAACACCAAAGACGGCAUACUUAGGUGUACCUAUUGUAAGACAUGAUUUAUCGUUGAAGCUUCCUAAAGAAUUUGAUGCUAGAACCGCUUGGUCACAUUGCACCAGUAUUCGAAGGAUCUUAGGUCGGUUUUAAUCUCUUAGCUUCCACUAUCUCUGUCAUUAACCCAAUGAUUUACUGACUCUUCUUAUGUUUUGUUUCAAAUUAUCUCCCUCUUUAUUGCACUAAAGAUCAGGUGAAACAUCAUUUCAUUUGAGUGGGUUAUAUAUUGAACAAUGUGUUACUCUGGUCGACGAUAACUUUAUGGUUUUGGUUUCUUUUGGGUCAUUGUGGUUCUUGCUGGGCAUUUGGUGCUGUUGAAUCACUGUCCGACAGGUUCUGCAUCAAAUAUAACUUGGUAACACAACUUUCUCCAUCAAGCCAAGAUUGACGAUUGCUACAGCUUUUUAAUGUAAUUGCUCUUCUUCCCUUGCAGAAUGUUUCCUUAUCUGCCAAUGAUGUCAUAGCAUGUUGUGGAUUACUUUGCGGUUUUGGUUGUAAUGGUGGUUUCCCAAUGGGUGCAUGGUUGUACUUUAAGUACCACGGUGUAGUAACCCAAGAGGUAAAUUCUCAGCAAAGAACAAAUAAUAAUGGCAAUGUGGUCAAAGUGUAUUGAACUUUUGUAAUGCUGUUGGUUCUUCAGUGUGAUCCAUACUUUGACAAUACUGGUUGCUCUCACCCGGGAUGUGAACCCACUUACCCUACACCAAAAUGUGAGAGGAAAUGUGUAAGCAGAAACCAGCUAUGGGGUGAAUCAAAACACUAUGGUGUCGGCGCAUACAGAAUCAAUCCUGACCCUCAAGACAUUAUGGCUGAGGUUUACAAGAAUGGACCUGUCGAGGUUGCUUUUACCGUUUACGAGGUAAUGAAAAAGAUUUUUGAUUGAUCAAACCAUAUUGAUUAUAUCUUGGUGAAGUCCACAUUUUCAUGUAUCUUUUUGUUCUUCAGGACUUUGCACAUUACAAAUCAGGAGUAUACAAGUACAUAACGGGUACUAAGAUUGGAGGUCAUGCAGUUAAGCUCAUUGGCUGGGGAACUUCUGAUGACGGCGAAGAUUAUUGGGUAUGAAUUCUCUGGAUUUUGAUUCAGAUCAAGCUGAAAAAGUAAUAACAUUUUCUUGUUCGUUGUUGCAGUUGCUUGCAAAUCAAUGGAACCGAAGCUGGGGUGAUGUAAGUUCUUCUUUUCUCCAAUCAAAACUUUUAAAUUAGACCUUCCAAGUAAACAAAAGCACAGAACCUGAGAUAGAAAAUGUGAAAAUCUCAGGAUGGUUACUUCAAGAUCAGGAGAGGAACGAACGAAUGUGGCAUUGAACAGAGUGUUGUAGCUGGUUUACCUUCAGAGAAGAACGUAUUUAAAGGUAUUACCACUUCAGAUGAUCUUCUGGUUUCCUCAGUCUAAACAAGACGAUGUGUCCCUACUUCUGUAAUAUAUCAUUUGCAACUGUGUUGUAAGUUUAAUAUACCAUUGAAAGAAUCACCUUCAAUCAAAACAAAAGUAUGUAUAGCUUCUGUUAAUAUUCAAUUUUACAUGUUACCAUGCAAGAGGACUGUUACAGUGUUUAUUUGGUUUUGGUAAAUUAUAGCCACCUAAAAGUAACGCCUUAAUUAAUCAUUUUAAAUUAUGAUUAACAAUCAAGUAAGUGGAACAAAUCAACGGUCAGGAUCUUAUCCUCGCAGUAAUAUGAUCUGUCAUUCUCUAACUAAAAAGAUAAGCCUCUCUCUGUCUCUUCCUAGAAAAGAAAACUUUGUACCUUUUCCAAAGUCUAAGCAAAUCAUUGUUUUUGAUUACUGGAACUCGUUGAGGGAUUGAGAAAAAAAUAAUCAGAAGAGAAAGAUCCAUGGCUGAUAAUUGUAUCAGACUUCUUCACUCAGCCUCUGUUUUCUUCUGUUUAGGGCUUCUAAUUUCAUCCUUCAACUUGUUGCAGGUACUUGAACCUUCAUAAUCUGUGUUUGAAAUUGCUUACGAAUAUUUAUGCAUGUUAGUGCUUUCUUCUAGUUACGAUCUGUUUCGUAGCCUUCUCGGGUUUUUCUGGGUUUGAUCAUGUUUGCUUAUUUGUUGGACUCUUGAAGCUAGAAGUUUUAAAAAAAAAAAUCGAAAUUUUCUGGGUCUUAAUCGAAUCAAUGAACGGGAAACAUAUUUGUGAUAUCAGAAUUGUUUAAAGUUUUAAACUUUUGAAGCUGGGUUGUCUCUUAAUCUCAGGGUAUUGCAGCUGAAAAUCUUUCCAAGCAGAAACUGACCUCAUGGAUUCUUCAGGUUUUGAUCUUAAUCCACCCAAUUUUCUGUUUUGUUUUCGUCUCUUUUAGAUUGCCUAAGCGUUGAUGAUCAACUUUUGCAGAAUGAGAUUGUAAAGGAAGUCAAUGAGAAUCCAAACGCUGGAUGGAAAGCUUCUUUCAAUGAUCGGUUUGCAAACGCCACUGUGAGUUUCUGAUUACCUCCACCAUUCCUUACAUAUAUCCUAUCAAUGCUUAUCACUGUUCCUGAAAACUUGUGUUUUUGUGAAUCUAUGUGUAGGUUGCAGAGUUUAAGCGCCUUCUUGGUGUUAAACCAACACCAAAGACGGAAUUUUUGGGUGUGCCUAUUGUAAGCCAUGAUAUAUCUUUGAAGCUUCCAAAAGAAUUUGAUGCUAGAACCGCUUGGUCACAGUGCACCAGUAUUGGAAGGAUCUUAGGUCGGUUUUAAUCUUUUAGAUUUCCACUAUCUCUGUUUUUUUCUAUCCAAUGAUUUACUGACUCUUCUUAUGUUUUGUGUUAAAUCCUCUCCAUAAUCGUCUCACUAAAGAUCAGGUAACAGAUCAUUUACUUGAGUUUUAUAUUGCAUAAUGGGUUCUCAGACAGAUAUAAACAUUUUGGUUUUGGUUUGUUUAGGGUCACUGUGGUUCUUGCUGGGCCUUUGGUGCUGUUGAAUCACUGUCUGACAGAUUCUGCAUCAAAUAUAACAUGGUAACAUAGAUUUCUUACUGUAGCCAAGAUUGAUGAUGGCUAGUGUUUUUCUCUUCGAAUGAUUAAUAUUCGUUUCUUUUGUUCGUAUGCAGAAUGUUUCUUUAUCUGUCAAUGAUCUUUUAGCAUGUUGUGGAUUCCUUUGCGGUCAAGGUUGUAAUGGUGGAUACCCAAUUGCUGCGUGGCGGUACUUUAAGCACCACGGUGUAGUCACUGAAGAGGUAAAUUCACUUUUUAACUGCAAAGAACAUCUAUUAAUGGCAAAGUAGUUAUAAAACGUAUUCUUGAUUCUACAGUGUGAUCCAUACUUCGACAAUACUGGUUGCUCGCACCCGGGAUGUGAACCCGCUUACCCUACACCAAAAUGUGCAAGGAAAUGUGUUAGCGGAAACCAGCUUUGGCGUGAAUCAAAACAUUAUGGUGUUAGUGCGUACAAGGUCAGAUCUCACCCUGAUGACAUUAUGGCAGAAGUUUACAAAAAUGGACCUGUUGAGGUUGCCUUCACUGUUUACGAGGUAAAUACUAGGUUCUAGAGUGAUCAAAGAUAUGAUUAUAUUAUGGAACUCCACAUGUUCAUGUAUCUUUCUGUUCUUCUACAGGACUUUGCGCAUUACAAAUCUGGAGUGUACAAGCACAUAACAGGUACUAACAUUGGAGGUCAUGCUGUUAAACUUAUUGGCUGGGGAACUUCUGAUGACGGUGAAGAUUAUUGGGUAUGACUCCACUUUUGACGCUCUGGAUUUUGAGUUUCGAUCUAGCCAAAAAAUUCACAACAUUUUCUAUUCUUUUGAAUUGUUGCAGUUGCUUGCAAAUCAAUGGAACCGAAGCUGGGGUGAUGUAAGUUCUUCUUCUCUCCAAUCAAACUUUUACUUUCGACCUUCCAAAGAAACCACAGAACCUUAGAUAUAGAAUCUGAAAAUUUCAGGAUGGGUACUUCAAGAUCAGGAGAGGAACAAACGAAUGUGGCAUUGAACAUGGUGUUGUAGCUGGUUUACCUUCAGACAGGAACGUAGUUAAAGGUAUUACUACUUCAGAUGAUCUUCUUGUUUCCUCAUUUUAAACAGGAAUAUGUGUCUCUACUCUGUAAUACAUAAUUUCCCACUGUGUUGUUGUUACCAAUGAAAUAAAACGACUUUCAACCCAAAAAGAAGUCUAUUGUAUAUACCAUUUAGCUUUUUGUUCAUAUUCAAUAUAAUGUGUUGUUGUUUCCAAUGAAAGAAUCAAAAGACAUUCAACUAUUCUACAUAUCAUUUAGCUUUUGUUCAUAUUCAACUAUACAUGUUUCCUAUUUUUACAUUCUAAUAUCUACUGUUUGUAUCUAUACUGUUUCAUUCUGCACUAUGUGUGACCAACGGUGGAUACUUGAGGUUUUUCAGUUUACUAGAUUGGUCGGCGAUAAGCUGAGCAGUAGUAUUAGGACCUGCUUGCAUAAAGACCUCGUACCCAUCACCUAACAGACCAGUUCUAUUGGUCGUAAGCUGCCAGAAAACACCACCAGUACACGAACCACCAGCCCUUGCACUGUCGUAGAUAACAUCGUAAACUCUUUGGAAAAACUUGUUCCGUUUCUCUAAGCUAAAACCAGGGUACUUUGAAGAUUUCCCAAACUCUGUUAUCAGCAAAGGCUUCUUGAUGAUAUUGUCACAGUCUUCAAUAUGUGCUCCGAUCCAUCUGUCCACAAAUGUAUCUUGUUCUCCUGUUCUUGAGCUCUGUAAUGGUAGCCUGAUCUUGAUUUGGUACACAGAGAGAAUGUGUUAAAAGACAACAAACCAGAAAACCCAAUUUUGAUUCAUUGAAUAGAGAGACUGAUGACUUACCAAGAAUCCGGGUAGAUAUGGAUAGUGGCGAAAUCGAUAUCCGGAAUUUGGUUAUUGGUGAUGAAAUCUGUACCGGUUAAGACCCUUCCGCCGGGAUUGUAAACCGUUCUUUCCGGUAUAGAUUCUCCGUAGAACCCUUCAAGCCCUAUUUCCAGCAAAUGGUUUGAGUCUAUGGACUUAACAUAACUAGCCAUUUCCUUCACCCAAUCCUGCACACAAAAUGACACCGUUUAAGUAUGUAUACGUGUGCAUGUUGUAUAGUAUAAAUACAGAGGAGAGACAUAGAUACCUGAAGAAUAUUCGAAGCAGUGGAAUCAUUGCAGCGAGGUUCGUUGAUGAGUUCCCAUGAGAAGAUGGUAGGGUCAUCUUUGUACAUUCGACCAGUGAUUGUGUUUUUCCUCGUCAACACGGUCUGUUUCAUGGUUUUGUCAAACCGUCGGUUUAGUUUGAUUUUUAAGUCGGUACUAGUAUACAAAAUUCUAUAUAUGAUCUAAUCCUUUUACGAGAUAUUUAAUUUGGGACAUUUGUUCAAUAAUAAGUUAACAAACAUUUUUAGAUUGGUACAUUUGUCAUGUUUGUUGAUUACUUUUAAUUGAUCAAAACCUAACUUUUGACAUUUCAAAACCGUCGUUUAUCUCGCGUUAACGUGUACAAAUAUAACCUGAAUAUUUUGCCUUUAACGUGUCGUGUUACAUAUGAUGAUCUCUAGAUAUUAAAUUUAACUGAUAUUUAUGUAAUUAACAUGGGUUUAAUUUUCAUAUUAUUACUAACCUUCACGUGAUUCUUGUAGAAUUGCUUGACAGCUGAGUUUGUGUAGAAUUCAUCCGGUUCAUCUAAACCGGCCCAUUCCACGUACUUUUUUCUCCCUCCAUAGUCUUCGAAAUUAUUGACUAAACUAAUUAUCAAUUUAAUAUUAAAUCGUCCAGCUUCAUAGACGACAAAGUCUAGCCCCUGCUGUCACAAAACUUUGUAUCAGUAUUAGUACUCAUAAAACCCAAUUACAAUUUGUUGUUAGUUUUUCUAUCAAUCAAUUGUGAGAGUCUCUUUAUUAGGUCAACAAAAAUUAAAGGUGUCUAGUACCAAAUUAUGCUUCUAAUUAAUAUAAAUAUGAUUAACAAUGUGAAAGUCUAUCUAUGCUUUUGUCAUUUUUUGCGAUUAUCCACUUUAUAUUAGCGUAUGAAAAGGAGUAGACGACGAUUUUUUUACGAGAAAAAAAACAAAAAGGUUUGAAGGUCUUAUGUCGGAAGUAUAAUUUGAAAUUUGAAUCCUUCAAUUUAGAUUCAACAAACAACGGUCAUCCAAAGAUUAAUAUACAUAUGAUCAUGACAAUAAAAAAUAACAGUCAAUAUUUUUCUUUAUAAUUCCGUUUACUAGUGAAUCAAUACAAAAUAAUUAAGUAAAUAAACAAUGAUAAUUUUAUCAACUCAGUCAGCAAACGAUCAAUUCAUGAUUAAAAAUAUUAAGUUUGUUGUAUAAUUGAUAAAAACAUACGAAAUGGUGAUUUCAGCAUGUUUUGCAACGAGCCACCAAAGUUCUCAAAAUAUAAAAUAUUAAGUAUAUAUGUGUAUGUAUGUAUAUGCAUGCGUGUUACCUUGAAAACGUCUUCACUAUAGGAGCCAGGAGAGAUCUGAAGAGGAAUGUAAUCUCCUUCGUUGAAACCCCAAAUCCUAGCGACGUUCAUUCCCACCGCGGAGGCUUGCCGGAGCGCCGUCGUGACGGUAGCUCUUCCUUUAGAUGCCGUGUCAGCCGCGGUGGUCAUCAUCCAAUAAGCAUUGAAGCCGUUUAAGUAAACUUGUUCUCCGUUCAACACGAACUGCGUGCCGUUUCUCCCGACAAAGCCUGUCUUUACGGCGACGCAAAUGCGGUUGUUUCCGAUGAGAAACGGAAGAAAGAACAAGAAAAACGGUAAGAUGUUUAACAUUGUGAUACUUUUGCCGACUUGAAGAAAAGAGAAUGACACAACAUGAAACGUUAAGGACAUUUGUGUGUGUGGUGUUAUAUAUACAUUACAGAUGUCUUAGAGCCUACGUAUUUGAAAACUAUUCAUUUUUGUCACCAUAUUGCCUACGUUUAAUUGAAAAUAUGUACACGGAACGCGUGAAAUUUAGAUAAAGUUUUUUUUAACGUUUAUCUCAAAUUCACUUUUGAAAUUAUAUUCUUGGGUUUAAGAAAACUCUUUACUUUUUAAACUGAUACAUAUUAUUUAAAGGAAAUAGAUAUUUUAUAAUUUGGCUUAAAAGCGUUUAUUUUUUGGCUAAUUGGCUUGAAAGCGUAAUAUUUUUCAUUUCCCCAUUAAAACGGUUUCAGACUGUUAGAUUUAAAUAAAUUGUAAUCUUGUUGCAUUAAAGGUUUUAAAUAAAUGAUUUUGGCGAAUAUAAUAUUUUCUAGUAAGUCAUUGUAAAGUUAAAAAUAGAUAAUUUUGGUUUUAUAACAUAUUGAUGAUACGUAAUCGAAAUAAUAUGAUUUUUGGUUGAAUAAAAUGAUACCAAAUGAUCACAAUAAUUAUAUAUGCUUUUGAAUGUAAGCAUGACACGCAUGUGGAAUGGAGCUAUCAUACUUAAGCUAGUACAUAUGUAAUGUACGAUUAAUUUAUUUUCUUAGGUCGACGACUCAAUCAUGUAAGAUGAAUUAUUGAAUUUCAUUUCUCAACAGAAAUAAUUAUUGAAAUAGAGAAACUUCAUAUGGAUUUUUGUAAGCUCCAAUUGAUUCGAGAGAUAUCAGAUGUACUUUUAACUCUUCCCGGGUCCCCUAUGUUUGGACUUUUAUUAUUUAAAUUUGUUUGGCAAAUAACUAUGAAAUUUGCAAUGAUUAAAAAUUAAUAAUAGUUUCCCUAUCAAAAAAAAAAAAAUUAAUAAUAGUUUGGUCUAAACCAUGUGAAAUGAGAUCUAACUUGGGCCAUUCAUUCUUGUUCUCAAGUUUUACUUCACAAUAUUGGGCCCUUGAUAAAGCCCAUAUACUUGAUAUGGUUUGACUCUAUGGACUUACAUAACUAGCGCUCUGGGUCUUCAAUACACCUCAUUUUUCUUUGGGUGUUUUUAGGUGAAAUACGAAACCUAGGGGUUCAUUUAGCAAUUUUCAUCAUAAAGGGAAAAAGACAUGUUUAUAUUUUCCAAGUAUGGAUCAAAGGCUCUAACAGCAACAAAUGGGAAACAAUGUCAAGAAACUGGGGACCUAAUCUAUCUGGCAAAGCCUUUUACUUACCUUAAUGGCCAAAGUCUUUCCAUUCAAAAUCCAAACCAGUAAUGGCAAAAUCAAGACACUACUCAAUGUCGUUCCUUCGAAUUGGCAGUUUGGUUAGAGCUUUGAGAGCAACUUAAACUUCUGAAAGCACACUUUUACUAUGAACUAUGUAAACGAAGAUUUGUUUUCUUUUAAUGAAAUGUUACAGAAUUCCAGUACAACAUAAAUCUAACAUCCAAAAGAGUGUUGUUACCCGGUCAAGGAUGAAGUCUGCAAACAUGUUUUUACUUUUAUCUUCGCAUUACACGGUUACGCUCUCUCUUGCGAAAUCGUUCCAACAUGAUUUGAUCAGUUGCUGCUUGUCUGCUUUUCCCUGAAUCAGCAUUAUUAUUAGUACUACUGCUAGUAGAAGGUUUAGCUGCUUCACCGUCCGCUUGAGGUCCUCCUCUAUCUUUGUAUAGCUCAGGAUGCUCUGCGUUUUCAAAGUUUAUAUCAAUACAAGAACCAACACGCACAUGGACUAACAAAUGGAAAAAAGAGAAAAAAGGAUUCAUAAAGCAAACCUCUCCUAAGCUUCUCAGCAUAAUCUUUCCCGCGUUGGAAGUAAUCCGCACUAUAACUAGACGGGAUACUAAACUCUGACUUUGGCCGACCCAUAAGUCUCCUCUCUUGCAAAAGCUUCUUGGCAGCUUCAGUUUCUUCAAUGUUCUUCAGCUUGUAUCUGAAUAUUAUCCAUCCAAACAAAAAAAACAUUAAUCUCUAAAAUACUCAAAUACACAUUUAUCUUACAUCUAUGAUUGAGAAUGUAUUCAUACUCAAUUGGGAGUUGGACUUCUGCUAUUCCGGUAGUCCACUGCGUCGAGCUCUCUUCCGAGCUACGCUUCUUGACCUGAGAAGGAAGGAAGGCUUUUAGUAACAAACAACAAUCUUAACCCCUGUUAAACAUCGACACUAAACAACUUACUUUAAGAUGAUCAGGUAUCUUAUAUAACUCAUCUUCCACUCGCUUCAAUUCGUUCUCAACCUCCUCUGCAUCAUCAAUAUUUCUUCCCCGUUUCUUCGCCAAUUCUUGUUCAAUGUACUUUACCCUAAAGAAUCAAAACAAUCCUCAACACUUACAAAGACAAAGACAAAGACAGCUCACUCUAGCUUAAUCUAUUUAACUACCAAGCAAACUAGGUUACAAUUUUUGUAAAGAGAGAUUUGCUUACAUGUUGGGAUCUUCAAUCAAAACAGCAGUCUCUUGAGCAAAAGUAUCUUGCAACACAAGCUCCUCUUUCUCUCCUUCAGUUUCAGUUUUCUCCACUGGUUUCACUUUUCCGAUGCUAGAUUGCGCCGUAGAAGAUAAAGCUGGGAUACCUAAUUUCCUCUCUCGCAGCUUCUGCAAAAACUUCACCUCCUCUAACGCCAAUCUGUAGAUCAAACAAAAAUCGAACCUUUUCAACAACCCAUCAAAUAAAUUGAAGAAAAUCAAAACCCUACAGAUUUGCUUUUCAAUUUAGAGCUGACCUUCGCUUCUCUUCUUCCUCUGAAAUUGCGGCUUUGUUUACAUCAUUAUCUUCUUCUUCCUCCUCGAAGCUACGCUUCCUGAAAUUUCUCUUCGGCGGCAUCGCAGCCAGAAACUAUCGGAUUUUUGAAAGAGCUAAUGCGACUUGAGACGACGACGACGAUAGGCUUUUAGGUUGAUCUGAAAACAGACUCUCCGUCGGCUAAAAUCACAAGCGAAACAUUUAAUAUGGGCCCUAUUAGUAAGCCCAUUAUGUAUUAAAAAAAUAUAUUUAAAUGAGAUAAUUUACUAACAUUUUAUUUAGGGCCAUAUUAGUUAGCCCAUUAUACAUUUUUCCAGGCCCACGUUAGCUUCUUAUUCAACUUAAGAAGUGUAUUAAUCCAUCACUGGUCCAAAAGCUCUAGGACGAACACUUGAUCUCCAAGCAAGCAAUAAAAAUCAUCAACAAGAUAAUCACAGUAACACCUUUUUAUUCAAUACAGUAGUGUUAAAUAAAAUCUUUCUAGGUAACGGUUACAUUAUAUUUUCAUGUUUUUAUUUUUUUUUUAAACUUUUAUGAAUUAUUUUUUAGUGGCAAGCCUUUCCUUAAUCUUAUCAACCAUCUUAGAUCCCACUUGAAAAGUCUUAGUUAACACAUCUUCCGGCAAAGCCGGCUCUGCCGCAAAUAGGGUUGCCGCAACAGAAGCCGUUCCCGGCAACUGACUAUUAAAUGCCGACAAAACCGACGCGGGAGAUUUCCCAUUGUUCUUUUGAAAAUGCACAAGCCCUCUUGGAAAAACGAAAACUUCACCAAUCUUUAUGGUUUUAGUGAAAAGCUUAUUCGCUGUUGUGAUAAAUCCAACCUCAAGCUCUCCUUCUAGAACGUAGACGACUUCGGUGGCGCGUGGGUGAGUGUGCGGUGGGUUUAAACCUCCCGGCGCGUAGUCUAUACGUGCUAAGGAGACGGAGAGAGUGUUGAGGCCUGGGAUCUUUUCCACGUUGGCUCCUGUUACGGCCGAACCCAUCGUAGAGUUUAUGACGGCGGGUUUUGAGAUUCCGGCGAAGAAGAAGUCGGACUCCGUGAUGUUUAAUGUUUCCUUGCACGGAAAUCCAUUCAGUUUGGUUCCUGCGUUUCGCACAUCGUGCCGUUUAGGUUUUAUAUCAAGUCAACAUAGAUUUAAUAAUGGUGUAAUAUUCCCACAAAAUAUCUAUAUAUUAAAAUAUCUCUAAUUUCAACAUAUUAAUUUUAUUUUUGAUUUGAAAUUUAGAUAAGAUGUUCAUAGAGUUUGAGAUGAUCCUCCUGAUACAUAGAUAUUAUUAUAACAUCACGAUAGAUUAAAUUUUCGAACAAAGGUAAUUUCUACCGUGAGAUUUAUCGGCAACGCAGAGAUCUUGAAGAGCGUCGGGAUCGUAUGCACGAAUUGAAGUGAUCAUAAUGCAAGAUAACGCAAUGAUAAUAGAAAUUCUUGAAUUCAUCAUGGCUCCAAAUUAAAUAUAUCCGUGAAAAGAUGAAUUUUAUUUAACUAUGAGAGAAGAAGCUCGAAGUUUUUGGUACUUAUAGAAUCAGAGACCAGUUUGAUCGACAAGUCAUUUGCUUGGCGAAAUAAAAAACCAAACAUUUUAUUUGUCUUGACCAAACUAAGAAAUGUACGUCAUAGCUAAUUAGUAGGUAAAACUAUGCCUUUCUGACAUUGUUUUUCACUAAAGCCAAGCCUUAUUGAGACAAAAGGAUAUGUAUUUGUAAAAUAAUACGUAUAUAAGUGUGCGCCUGUGUCUGUGCGUGUAGAAUUUUUCUUUUUUUAUAUAUAAAUAUGAAUUGUGUCUCGAGUUUCGGACGUAAUAUUUCUUGUGUGUGUAUUUACCUAGCUCAGAAAACAAAAGAAAAGAGAUUAUUACUCACAAGUCACAACUUUAAAACAGAAAACAUUUUGAAUUUUCCACAAAAAAAUGAAUAUAUCAACUGUGGAAAAGCGAUGUGUAAACACAAAACGCAAAUCAAUAAUUGAUGUGUAAGAAAGUGAUUAAUAAUUCUCGAAGUCAAGUUUCCUCAUUUCUUCUUUUGAUCUUUUCUCAUACAUCCGGCCCUAUAUUUGGCAGAGCCACAUCCUAACUUCUAAGUAACAUGCAGUGUGCAGAGGUAAGUUAAUGUUACUUUUUGUACAUUAACAUUAUCAUAGUGUAUGACCCACUGGUCCUGAAUUUGAGAUGCUGAAGAUAAAGCUAGUUGGGAUGCAUGUAACCAAGUGUAAACGUUUGAGACGCUUAAGAAUCAGGGAAAUCUUGUUCCUACGUUCAAUGCUCUUAUAAGCAUGUCUCAAUAUAUUUUACAAAAUAUCAGAUAAAUGAAAAAAUUGUUACAUGCAAGAAUUUAUACAAAAAGUUUUAACUUAUUGAUUAUUAUUAAUAUACAAAACCACCCGGAAAAAAAAGUAUAUGACACAAAUGGUUCACACAAACUGUCCUAAUUUGGAACUCUUUUCUCUCUUAAUUAGUCAACGAUCAUUUCACAUAAACUUUUAUCGAGCUACUUACUUAUCAUAGUCUUCUCAUCGCAUGGGAAGAAAAAUCCAAGAAACUUGGGAAAUAAGGAACCAAACCGUGAAGAGACUGAGGAGAAGAAGCUGGUGAUGAUGUUGUAAGAAAUAGAGAUUGACUAGAUGAAUGUGGGAAUGAAAUAUUAGUAAACGGUGGUAAUGGCCAAUUUAACGCCGGAAUUAGCGGCGAUGGCAUCAUGUGAUUCGCCGGAUUUAGGCCGUGAGCCGAAGCCAUUGCCGUCAGCAUGUGGUUGUGCAUUCCAAAUCCUAAUGUCGCCGGAAGAAAAUAAGGAUUCACCCCCACUGUUGACAUCAUCUGCAAUUAUAACAUCAACUUUGAUUACAACUUAGUUUCUGAAUAUAAAUAGCACAUAUACAUAUUCGAAUGAUCAAAAUGGGUACAUAGUUCUAUAAAAUAUAAAACAUUUAGUUGGCACUAAAUAAUCACAUGAAAAGAGAUGAAUUCGAAAUAUUAAAGAAAUUCUAUAGACUUCACCAUCUAGGUUAUCUACUGCCUACUAUAUAUCAUUCCAUUUUUUUCGUCACUAAACACCAAAAAGUGGCUAUAUUUGUUUGAUCAAUUUGAAACCCAUAUUGUAAAACAAUAAUCCAUAUCUCAUAAGUUGGCGAGUCAGAUCGAAUACCAAGAACAGUUUAUGUCAACUAGUUAAAUUAACCAAAAAAAAACUCAGACUAUUAGAUAAACACUUAAAACCUCAAGCCUCAAUAAUUCAAAUAUAUGGAAGAAGAACACUGAAUAAAGUGUGAAAUAAAAAUAGUGAAUAAAGUUAAAUAUAGACCUGAAGUUGAAGUUGAAGGUUUUUCAUAUACUCUAUGGUCUUGUCGAGAACCGAAACCUUGUCCGUCUGAAAACCGUAAAAAAGCACCACCCGUUAUCAGAAUUGGAAACUUAAGGCAAGAUUUCUUCAUAUAUGCAACGGAAGUAGCGGAAACUUAUACGGAAAAGACUAGACACUCAAUAGUUAAAUUGAAACAUUAUAUAGAAGGAUCUAUAUACACACCAACCUUGUGACAAUUAGGUACGAGUUGCUGUAGCUUACGCAUCUUAUUACUCAUCUUCUCGUCUCUUCUUCUUCUCUUGGAACCUUUUCGAGUAACUGAAGGAACUUCUCUUGUAAACUCCUCCGAUUCAUCCUAAAUUAAUUAAUUUUAUUUAUAGAAAGAAAAAAUUAAAAACAGUGAAAAAUGAUAAUACAUAAGGUAACAUGAAAAUAUAUCUAUGUAUCGACUUACAUCACUACUUAAGACCUGGAUACGACGUUUUUUGGGGUUCUCAUGUUUGUUUCUCAGAUAAAAUCGAUGAUCUGAUCUCUCUGAAAAAUCUUUAAUAUGAUGAUGAUCAUCAGUUUCAGAAUGUUCAUCAGGGACAACAACCAAUAAAUCCUCCUUCGCAUUUUCUACUUCUUUAUGAAUCUCUGGAACAAUCUGAAGAUAAUUAUCAGUUUGAUCAUGAUCAAAGUAGCCGUAGCCCCAUUUUAGACCGUUGAUUAGACGAUCUUCAUCACUUCUUGCUCUUUCUGACAUCAUGCCCUGAUCUUUCACAGCAAGUGAUCCGACGUCGUUUCUCCAUCCCAAUUCCAUGAAAGCUUGAUUAUUCGACCUGCCAAGAAAAAAGUAGUAAACUAUUAGGGUUUACGAUACAAAUCAUUGAUAAAUUAUUAAAGAAAUAAAUAAAGAGAAUAACAAGGCAAGAAACCUAAACUCUGAAACCUCCUGUUUAAUUAUACUUACAUGUUAGUUAAAGAGAUAUCGGAGAUGAAAAGUUUGGAGAAGUGUUUUUUCUUUAGGGAUUUCAGCUUUGUCCGAGAAAAUGGUAUCCCAUACGCUUAUGUUAUAAGAGCGAUCGGAUCAGAUAGAUGGUAUAGUUGUCAGCUACAUUGGUGACCCACUUAUAUUGUGCCACGUUUCAAAGUAUGUGUGGUUCGUUUGUUGCGUACACCGACAACAAUAAAACAAUUCGGCUAGAUUCUAACAUACAGCUACACGAGGUUAUUAUAGACAUAUUGAUGUCAUUUGAGUUCUUUGGAAACAAUACUUUUUUGGAUUCACAACAAACAUUGUAAUGAAAAUAUUGUUUUACUAAAAUAAUUAAUACAGUAAUUAAAUUAGUUUUUAUUUUGGAAAAGUAUUGUCAAAUAAUUCCAUUAUCACAAAUUCACAAUGUACUUAAAUGGAUUAUUAUUCUGCUUAUUGUUUUUAUGAUUCUAUACGUAAUUGUCCCAAAACUACGUCAUAGUAGCAUAUAUCGACUUUAGAGUAAUCUUGAAAUUUUGCACAGAAAGAUAAAAGUAAUCUUGAUUAAUCAAUAACGUCACUAGAUUCACUACCACUUUGACACAUGAACAUAGAGAUAAAUUUAUCUUUGUACGUAUAGAAUGUAUUCAUUUAUAUAUUGAGAUUUGAGAGACAGUUUAAUAGUAUUUCUUAACCAAGAACUGUAAUGCACAACGGGUAGGGCCAUUUUUAUCCGUUUAAUUAUUUUUCCCGUAAUCUUAUCGUUUAUCAUUGAAUACUCGUCAUUAAGCUUUAUCUUUAUAUAUAUAUAAAACAAUGUAAAAUAUCGGAUGUCUAUUUGUUUAUUUUUGGUCAGAUCAUCUCUAAAUAUAAAAACAAAAAGAUGACGUCUCCGUUUGGAAAAAAAAAGGUUGACUACCACAAGUUUCAUAAUAUAAUCGACAAAAAAAUAUCGUCUGUAACAACGAUAAGAUUAUUCGAUCUCCCAAUUGGUAAAUUCGUUAUUAUGAAAGGCUUACAAAAUUCAGUAACCAGCAAUCAUAAUAAUUUCAGAGUUAUGAUACUAGAGUUCACUUUUUUGUGCAAUAAUAUAAUGGUCGAUUAUUUCCAGCCUGAGAAUGCAUUUCAUUUCAUGACCAUUUAUGGAUUCCUGAAAAAAGAAUUCAUUUAGGGUUUUAUCCAAAAUCCCACGUGGGUUGUGGGCUCUAAACCAAUCCUAUAACGAAUCAGUUUUUUUUGUUUUCUGUAACCCCACGACACAUUUAUUGGAAUUUUAGAGUCACGUCAUCAUCAACCAUACACCGAGCAGGUGCGAUGGUCCACAUUAUUACUAUCUUUGAUAAAAAAGGUCCACACUAUUUUCCUUAAUUAAAAAAAACUCCAAUAAUUACAACAUAUUCUGAAUAAACAAAAAUGACCUGGUUACUAAAUAUCAACAAUCAAAAAAAAAAAAAAACAGUAUCAAAUUCUAAUUUCGAAUUAGUAGAACAAAAAUACUAAUUAUUAUUAUUCAAUUGACUAAUGAAUGUUAACUUUGUAGCGUUGAAUCAAAUGGGCCUGAAAAAAAUCGAAAAAGAGAGAGAGAGAGGAAGAAGAAAAGGCGUGUUCACGUGAUGCCCUCGUGAUGGACAUGGUGCUAUGUCUGACACUUGGGUACUUUAUAUUUUGUUGGUGUCUUAGCGAGCGACGAAGCAAAACCACAGCCACUACAUAGGUUUCCAAUCUCCUUCACGACAACGACCUCUCGGAAUAUACGUUCCAAUCUACAACUUCCCACUGUUCAAUCUAUUUGAUAUUAUGGAAAAACUUUGCAUUAUUGAUUCUUAUUUUAAUAUUUUUCUCUUGUUCCCACCGUUUUGGUUGGAAUCAUAUACUAUACGAAGUACUAUUUGUGUAUCUAGUGGUUGAUUGACGAUUUUUAUUUUUGUUGUACAUUAAAUGCAGCAUCUAUGAUCUAUCUAUCUUCUUCUUUUUUUGCCAAAUAGAACGUUAUCUUUACUGGGCUUUUAGGUUAGCCCAUGUAAUGUUAUUAACCCAAAUAUGAAUUUAUUAAGGGCCCAUCAAUGAGGAGUGAAACAUGUUAGACAAAACUGAGAACAGGCCUCUACUUCUUCUUUUCGUAGCGAUCGCCAUGGAAAUAUCAAAUGUCUCUUCUCCGUCCGGCGGUGUCGCAGCCAUUUCUCUCAUAAUUCUUCUCCGUCCUCGGUUACUUGCUUAUGAUUCUACUAAUCUCUGUUGUUUCCGGUUGAUCAAUCGUCGAUCUUCUAAACUCGAAGGCGGAGGAGGUAUUACCGUGACGGCGGAUUGACUGAUCCUCAGCGGAGUAUGUAUCUUGACACGCGAGGAAAAAUGUUUUUUUUUUUCCCUUUUCCUAUUGUGGUUUCGAUCGAAUUCGCUUAAUUCGAUUUUGUUACAUGAAGCGUUAAAUUGAGCCAAUGUAUAUGAUUUCGAAAGCAAAAAUUAGUUAUCUACAGAACAAAUUGUCUUGUAUCUGAUAGUUUAGUGGUUUGAAAUUCACUAAAAGAGUUUUAGUAGAAUGCUCUGUCUUGGUUUAGUGGAUUUAAGCCUUGUCGUUGUUUGCAAGUUUACUAGAAGAGUUUUGGUAGAAGCUCUGUUUUUGGUUUAGUGGAUUUACAUUUGUCGUUGUGUGCGUAAUUCAGGUAGAUAUUGUUUCCCAUUCCCAGGUUUGUGUUGUGGAAUGGGAAACUGAGGCCGCUUCUGUCAAAGCCAAAGGGCCCAAACAGUUGGUUCUUUCAGGAAAGGAAUCACAAUGUUGCCAGAGGCAAUCUCUGCAAGGUAUUGUAUUAUAUGCUAAUGAAUCUGUUUUCUUUCACCCUUUUCAAUGAGAACAGUGCAAAAAUCAUUAUCUUUUUUUUUAUUUGGGCAGGUUGAGUUGCAACUUGCAAAGUUAAGGAAGCUCUCAAGUAUUACUAAGAUGGAUAGCAGAGGAUACAACUCGACUUAUGAAACUCUGAGGGGAUAUUCUCUGUACAGAGCAAAAGUGUAGCGAUGACUGCUCCAUCUCAUGUUGCUAACAGUCUUUUUCCCCCAAUUUUCUGUUAAGUUUUUGGAUUUGUGAAACCAGUUGUGUGCAAAUUCAAGUAGAUACGUUUGGGAUCUUAUGUUUUGUCGCCAAAAUUCCCAUAUACAAGCUUGUCGAUUGAAUAUGCAUACUUAAACUAUCUUAAUUCUUAAAUCAUGUUGGAUUUGUAGACUUUCCCAAUGAUGAGUGACUUGAUGAUAAAGUUGCUGAAGCUGUGGUCUUUCAUCAUCUGGUCAUGAUUGAUGGAUAUUCUUUGGUGGCAAAUAUGUUGCUGCUGGUGUCGCAUUGGGUCGGUGUGUGGAAGGGGCUUACCCAAGCCAAUGAUUUCAUUUAUAGGUCCGCUUACAAGUAAGAAAAUUAUUAAACGAAAACCAAUUAGAUACUAAGAUUGCAGAUUAGACUUUGACAAGACAUAAGUAUGUGAAGGUUCCCAUUAAUAUCCUCAUAAGUGAUUUUACAACUUGUGGCCAAAAGAGCAAAAAUUACACAAAGCGGGAGAAAGAUAGUUUAAGUCUAGAACAAAUCGAUCAUAACUCUUGAAUCUUGCGGAUCUUCGUGAAGAGGUGAGAUCUUGAAACUGUCGGGUCUUGGAGAUUUCUGUUGAUGCGUGUAAUGGAAAGAUGGAGAAGAAGAAGAUGGUGUAAGAAUUAUGGAGGAAGAAGAAGGGAAUUCAGAGAUUGUAGGGUGAAGGAUUUGUGUGAGUAGAAGAACAAUUGACGCCAUUGAUGAUCAACUUCGAAAAAGCUUUGUAUAUUUAGGGUUUUGGUGUAGAUUUUGUUUUCUCAUGUGAUUCUUAUCUGCCUUUUAUAUAUAGAGAGAGAAAAAGUGGGCCUGUGGUAUUGUGGAUCGAUGUUGUGUGUUUUAGAAUCCAGUGGGACUCUUAAAUCUUUGGGUAGCAGGCAGCAAGUGGUUUUUGUCUGACUUUUGUGUCGCAUUUAUAUCUCGCCCCCAAAACCAGCUGUUCCAC